GAUGAACGCUGGCGGCGUGCCUAAUACAUGCAAGUCGAGCGAACAGACGAGGAGCUUGCUCCUCUGACGUUAGCGGCGGACGGGUGAGUAACACGUGGAUAACCUACCUAUAGGACUGGGAUAACUUCGGGAAACCGGAGCUAAUACCGGAUAACAUGUUGAACCGCAUGGUUCAACAGUGAAAGACGGUCUUGCUGUCACUUAUAGAUGGAUCCGCGCCGCAUUAGCUAGUUGGUAAGGUAACGGCUUACCAAGGCAACGAUGCGUAGCCGACCUGAGAGGGUGAUCGGCCACACUGGAACUGAGACACGGUCCAGACUCCUACGGGAGGCAGCAGUAGGGAAUCUUCCGCAAUGGGCGAAAGCCUGACGGAGCAACGCCGCGUGAGUGAAGAAGGUCUUCGGAUCGUAAAACUCUGUUAUUAGGGAAGAACAAAUGUGUAAGUAACUAUGCACGUCUUGACGGUACCUAAUCAGAAAGCCACGGCUAACUACGUG
rnacentral:rRNA from 1 species